ACAGAGCCGCCAUGCCGGAACCGCGCGGGUCGUCGCAGCUGCGGGUUAACGCGGCGUUUGCCGCGCGGUACAACCGCUACCGGGAACGCGAGGAACUGCAGCGGCUGAAGGAUCGCUACGGGGACCGAGACAGCAGCAGCGACUCCAGCUCCGAGUCGGACUCCAGCGACGAGCGCGUGGAAUUUGACCCCCAGCAGGAGCGGGACUUUUACAAAACGCUCUCCUUGUUGAAGAAGAAGGACCCCCGCAUUUAUCAGAAAGAUGCCACCUUCUAUAACAGAACAGCAAAUAUGUUGACGAGGAGAACUCAGACGGGGAGACUUCCAAUCACAGACUCCAGGUGGGUGGGGUGAAGGCUGGGUCGGGGGGCUGAGGGGCCUGGGGCUGGCCUGAGACCUAUGGCCCUCUCUGCAGGAGACAUCGUCGCAAAGUUAUGUGGAGGAACAGAAACAGCUCAAGGAAAGCUUCCGGGCAUUUGUGGAGGACAGUGAGGACGAGGACGGCGCUGGGGAGGGCGGCUCCAGUUUGCUGCAGAAACGUGCCAAAACCAGGCAGGAGAAGGCCCAGGAGGAGGCCGACUACAUCGAGUGGCUGAAGGGACAGAAAGAGAUUCGGAACCCAGAUUCCCUGAAGGAACUG
rnacentral:sRNA from 1 species